ACCGGUUGUGGCGGGUGAGUAUAGCUUCUUGUGCGCAUCUGAGGGAGCAGGUAACUGCCGGCGAGUGGCGGUGGGCUCCGGGCAAGGAAGGACCUGGGGACCCGGACCCUCGGGAAAAAAAGCAAGUGAGCCCCGAGAGCUCUACGAGAAGAGCCGGCGCUUGGAGGGGGAGGGGCAGCUGCAGCGGGCUGCCGGGCGGUCCCGCCCCUGGCCUGGGUCAGGACCCGGUCUCCGCAGGAGCCGGAUCUCGAGAGUAGCUUUUGCUAUUCCCUCGGAGCACUGAGAGUGGUGUGGUUUCUGGUGGACUUGCAGAGGACCAAGACCUUGGGAAGAUCGCGGUUGCUCUUCAGUCGCCACCCAGAGCUAAGGGUUUGUCUCCUCUAAUUUUAAUCUCUUAGGGGGUUAGGGAACCAGGCCUGAAGAGCAGGGUGACUAAGAUAAAUGGAGUCUCUCUAAGAGGCAUCUUCAUUCAUUCUUUAUUAGGUUCUCACACCUUACCCCAGACUGGCCUGAACUCAACUCUGUAACCCGGGCUGGCCUUGAACUCGCGGCAGUUCUCCUGCCUCAGCAUUUCAAGUGCUGGAAUUACAGGCGUGAGCCAGCACUCCAGACUCGCUUCUUUCUGUUGCUGUUUUGAGACAGGGUUUCACUAUGUAGACCAGGCUGGUCUCGACUCACAGAGAUCUUCAAGAGUGGUGGGACCAAAGGCGUGUGCUACGACCCUCGGCCCGAUUCGAUUCUUAAAAACAGAAUAGUUGAUACCUUCAGGUUCACCCGAACAAAUAUAUUCAGCAAUUUUUUCAAACAGUCUAAGUUUCCUGGUGUGCUUUGGAGUAUGUUAGUGCAGAGCAUGCUAUUUACAGAUUAGUAUAAUUAAUCAUGAGCAUGGGUGACGACCACUUUACUAGAUACUGAAAAUACACUGUAACGGUGAAGUGAAGCCAGCCAGGAUUCCUACUGAGAUGUAACAUAGACUGUGAUUGGGAGGUGAGCAUUAAAUAGUCACACCAAAUAAAUCAUUUGAGGCUAGGAGACAGUAUAAAGAGGAGAGACCUGGUGAAGAAAGGAAAGGUUUGCUUAAGUAUGUUUCUUUGUGAUUGAUCAAAACGACCUCAUUAGGAAGAAGGGAAAGGAGAGGCCAGGCAGAACGGCUAGCUUGUAAAUGGAAAUAUGUUACAAGGUCCUGUGGCUGAAGUCACCUUGUAAUUCAAGGCCCUGGGUCUGGCCCCAAGCUUGCAAAUACAAACAAAUAAAUAAAAGUUCUGAAGGCCUUUUAAGCCCCUGCUGGGAUGUACUGUUUUCGGACCUGCCUCUGCUACAGACGUGUUAUGUAUAUUGAGGAAAGAACAAGUUUUAAUGUUGGAAACUUUAUUUAUUUAUUCAUUUAUUUAUUUAUUUAUUGGGGGCUGGGUCUCUGACCUGGAAACCUCCAACCCUCCAUUUUCCUUCCUCAGCCUCCCGAGCUCUGGGAUGGUCAGAGUGGGGACACAGCUUUCAACAGCCUUCAGUCUUCAUAGGGUAAUGGACAUGUUAGAUCCCAGUAUACAACUCUGGUGUAGUCUGUAUGUAGUGGCCACCCUAUGGGGGCACUGGUUCUCCACUGGCUCUUAGCACACAGUCCUCAUUCAUUACUUAGGCAAAGGUGGGAGGUUCAAGUGUGCUCUAGAAAGUAAUGUUCCCUCAGCUUGUCUGUGGAGAGAAGCAGGUUGUUUUCUUCAGCAACAAUGACUCUAAAGGUAAAGUCGAACUGUAGCCAUUGUUAAGGAGGGCUGAAAAGAGAAGGCGGUGUGACAAGAUUUCUGAAAACCUUGACUCCUUAUGGUGACUAGCAAGAUCCUGUGGGAAUGCAAGUCCAUCCCCACCCCCCACCCCACCCCUCCACACACACUCAGCCUGUGUCACCAUCUUUUUGCCCCUUUGGGGCUUCUGUCAGAGUGAUAGACUAAGUUGUAAGUAGAUCAUUUGGAGUUGUGGUUGGCUGAGUCAGGAUGUCAUGUGCUUUGCGGGUGUGUUUAAAAACUCUGUGCUAAUGGGCGUAAAAUAGUGUCCAGUUCAAUAACUUUUUUUUGAUGCUCACAAGGUCCUGUUCCACACAGACACUAAACUCAAGCUAAAGUGGUGCAGUUAAGUUUAGAGCUGGCUCUAGAAUUCUAGAGAUGUUUAGAUGAUGUCAAAAAUGAGACAGUUCUCAUUUGUCAGGACACCCAGCACUGCAGAGCACUACAGCACUAGACGCCGAUUGGUGCACUCCAACCAAAACCUGUCAUCCCCACCUUACACACUCCCUGCCUUUCAGGGACCUGAGGGUGCACAUAAAAACGUUUUGACGCUAUAAAGUUGUCUUUUCUCAACCUCUGCCUCUUCUGAGUCCCCGGACUCGUUCUUCCAAUAGCAUACUCAUUUCGAAAUGAUGCUGUAUACAGAUAGCCCCAGUUCUUCGUAAUAUCAUGGCUAGAACCCGGCUCUUUCCCAGCUAGGGCUCUGAAGGUUUAGGCUACGUAGAGGUUGAUGCAUUCUUGAUACUUUAGGGUGGUCCAUGGCACAGAUGGGCUUAUCCCUGGGUUCAUAGCCACUGACACAAGUGUCAGCCCAAACCUGGCACCUGUGCCUUUGGGGAUAUGGAACUUUGGACAAGCCUCAGCCUGUAGGUUAACAAAGAGCUUGGAAGCUCCUCAGAGGCCAGUGGGUACAGACUCCCCUUUUGUUGAGGUGACCCUUGCCGAUUCCUAGCCGUAGGUACUCAGUGCGUAUUUGGUUAAUGAAUGAAACCAUGAAGAAGAGCCUUGCUUUGCUUGACGGGUCAACAGGGGGAAGACAGCCGGGGCCCUGAGGCAGCAAAGAUUUCCCAGUGAGGGUGACUGUAACCUGGGACAUUGCAACAGGAAAGUUUUAGGAUCAAAGAAACAGCUAACCUAUUUGACUUGGCUUGAGACGACACGAGUCUUGUGUAAUCCCCACUUUUACUUUUAUUUCCCUAACUUGCCGUCGUCAUUCCUUCUUCCUUUUAGUUCCCGAGGAGACUUUCCGAAAUGGAUGCCACUUUAACAGCACGAGAGAUCCGAGAGCGGUUUAUAAAUUUCUUCAGACGAAAUGAGCACACCUAUGUCCACUCUUCCGCCACCAUCCCUCUGGAUGACCCCACUCUGCUCUUCGCCAACGCUGGCAUGAACCAGGUAAGGGUCGUCUUCCUCCUCUCUGCCUGCCUGGCUGGCUGAGGGCAGCAGAGCUGCCGGAAAGCACAGCCUGGGCUGUAUAAAGUAGCAGGUAAACUCGAGUGACUUUCCGUGGUGAGCCCGAGUUUCUGUGUGAUGGUUAGAAGCCAGAGGGGCUGGGAACAUGGCUCCCACAUUCGGCCAAGGAGUUCAUUUUUAAAUGAGUCUUGGAAAGACUCUUUUCUUUUAUGGUCUUUGAGAUCAAGAAUUUGAUAGGCCCAGUGAUAGCCCUGGUAUAGUGGUGAAAGGUUUAAUCUUAGCAAUCAAGAGGCAGAGGCAGGUGGCUCUCCACUAAAAAGGUCAUAGGGAGUUCCAGGACAGCCAGGGUCACGAAGGAAGGAAGGAAAGAGGGAGGGAGGG
rnacentral:lncRNA from 1 species